CUUGUUGUUCAAGAGUGACGGGCGAUUUGUGCAUAAGGCUAAACUUUUACAAUAAUGAUUUUUUUCCAUAUUUUUAUUCAAAUCCUAUCUUCUUCCUCUUUCUCUCAAUGAAGCUUCAAUUUUUGUUUCCCAUCUAGGACCCAAUUAUAUUCUUUAUCUUGAUUUGUUAAUUUGUUUCAACUUUUUAAUUAGGAGUUUCUACCUUAUUUCAACAAUGAUAUAAAAAAUAAUAAAUCAGGCUCAUUCGAUCGUGGAUUAUCGAUUACCGGACAGGACCCUCUGAUAAGGGGCCUUACCGCCAUUUCAUUUAAAUUUCCUUUAUUUAAGUACUGUCUCUUAUGUUUUUAUGG
rnacentral:rRNA from 1 species